UACGUAGGGUGCGAGCGUUGUCCGGAAUUAUUGGGCGUAAAGAGCUCGUAGGCGGUCUGUCGCGUCGGUCGUGAAAACUUGGGGCUUAACCCUGAGCUUGCGGUCGAUACGGGCAUGACUGGAGUUCGGCAGGGGAGACUGGAAUUCCUGGUGUAGCGGUGAAAUGCGCAGAUAUCAGGAGGAACACCAAUUGCGAAGGCAGCUCGCUGGGACGUGACUGACGCUGAGACGCGAAAGCGUGGGGAGCAAACAGG
rnacentral:rRNA from 1 species